UCCAAUAUCUUUCUGGAAAACGAUCACUUGGAUAACUCGCCUCAAGCCCUAUAGACCCCAGAGAACAGGAAAGUUUCAGGGCCUUGCAAAUGGCAGCUUCUUUCCCUUUUAUUCCAAGCAUAAAUACAGCUUGGGUUUGAAGAGCAAGCUGAGCUGGGAAUGCACAGUAACAGCUGAUACUAUUACGAAUACCUAAAAGUGAGGAAAUUCAAGGUUAUGAUUCCCACGGCCACAGUAACUCAGCCACAUCAUGCAAUCUGUUUGUAACGUGUACUACUGAACGUCGUGUUAACUUUUAUGGCCACUAUUACAUAUGCGUAAUACGAAAGGGUUACGGUGGGAGAGGGAGCCAUAAUUCUGAAUUUUCUGAUAUUUAUGACUUUCGAGCGAGUUUAAAAUGGCUACUCGUUCUCUUUUGGAAAAUAACAUACAUUUGAGUGACUUCUAAUUCAAACAUUUCCCAAUUGUUUCUAUUUAUUUCCUUCUUUAAAGUAAGCAACAAUAGAUACAUUUUAAGUAACUGAUCAUCUUUCUCAUCUUUAUCCUACUAAAAAAAAAAACCCUAUAAAAUCAAACCAUAGACUGUCCAGAAAUCUGAAAAGGUUCAUUUACAUAAUAAAUUCCCAUACAUAAGAAGUCAUAUACAAAUGAUAUUUGAAAAAUGGAUAAAAAUUAGAAUAAGCAGUUUGAAAGUAAACAUAAACAGUAAUAAUUUCUUAUCUAAAUAAUUUUAAUCAAAUGAAUAAUAUAUUCAUCUGAUAAUACCCUCUAUCUUUCACAAUAUAAAAGAAAAGUGCUCAGAAUACAUUAAAAAAAAUAAGACGAAAGUCUCACA
rnacentral:lncRNA from 1 species